rnacentral:lncRNA from 1 species
GAUGCUUUUAAAAUAAAACACAGCAAUAAGCUUUAAUAGCAUAAAUAGAUUUUGAGAGUGAGACACACUAGCUAUUUUAGUUUUUUGAAAUAUAGUAAGGUAAGGAGCAAGCGAAAGGUUCACUACAAUACUUGUGGUUACUAUUGAUACUGACAAUGGCAAACUCGUGCUCAGUCAACAUAUAGAUGCAGUUUUUGGCUCUGCGGUUCAGUUUAGACGGGAUACAUAUAGGUUCAGCCUCGGAAAGUAAAAUGCAGAAACCGCCAAUGGUAGUUUAGAGUAGGACUACCUUUUCUGGUUAUAUUUUACUUAAAAAUAUAAGAAUAUAAAAAGAAACAAAAAUACAUGGAAUCGUAAUUCACACGAACAUGAACAUAAACAACACCGAUUAUCUUCCUUUAUUGAACAAUACCCUACAAAAAAAAGAGUUGUUUAACAUCAUUUAUUUUGUAUUUUUGCAUUAGUUAUAAAUACCGUAAUUUUUUUUGUAUCACUUAAAUAAACGAUUCUGAAAGUAGUGAUGCAAAUAAAUUGUAUCAUUUUAUUAAUAAAUGAUGUUAAAAUUCUAAAUAUUUACAUCAAUAAUUGUAAAUGAUGCCAAUGUAUAUCAAUUGUAAAGUGAUAUUAACAGUUACAUCGGUUUUUAAAAUGAUAUUAAUAUUGAUAUUUCAGUUAAAAAAAAAAUUAAUAUUGAUAUCAAUUAAAAAUUGAUUUAAUUAUUUAUUUAUUUAAUUUAAUCUUUAUUUGUAAUUAUAACUUAAUCAAAAUAUUUUUUUUCAAAAAUAGGAAAUUACCCAAUUUAAGCACUAUAUCUCCAAUUUGUUUGACGAUCUUUGGUUCUUUGGUUGGUUGACUAUUUUAUGUCGCAUCGUUAACACUUGAAUUGUCUGGAAUCAACUAGAUUACAAGAUCUUAAAACAAUGUUAAGAUGCAUAGCUGUAUACCAACCCGUCAAUAAAUAACAUGCACAUCGUUUUGCUUUUGCAUGUACAGGCACUCUCCAAGGUCGACAACAUUUAGCCCUCCACUGGUUAUUAUUUGUGAGGAGUUCUGCGCGAGCAGGAUACAACAGUCUCAUUGCAAUUUUGACUCUUGAUCGUAGCCGGGAAUGAUGUCAAAAUUAUGAUAAAGGCAAUACACAUCAAGGAAAUUAACUUCAUUUUUGAGAUUAAUUAGUCGCACUCGUUAUAAUUAGCCUUGAAUAGAAUAUCUACUGAGAAAUUUGAAAUAAUUUAGUUUUGGAAAAUGUUGUAUUUUUAGGUCUUUAAAUAGCAAACUGGAAUGAGCAAUAAUUGGG